UAUAUAUAUUAUUUAAAGAUGUCAAUCUUAUUUUCAAAGCUUGUAUAAACAACUAUACACACAAAGCAAGCAAGCCAACCAAAGUUUUACUUUGCAAGCAUUAGGAAAUCAGCUGUAAUGAUUUUAUUCAGUUUGGCAAAUGUCCGAGACCGUUAAAAAAUGAAAACAAAAUGAAACUACAGUUGCUGACUUCACUACCUUCAAAACAAAGGGAAC
rnacentral:lncRNA from 1 species